CCUACGGGAGGCAGCAGGGGGGAAUUUUGCGCAAUGGGCGAAAGCCUGACGCAGCGACGCCGCGUGGAGGAUGAAGGCCUUCGGGUCGUAAACUCCUGUCUUGCGGGAAGAAAUGCAGGUGGUGAACAACCAUUCUGUUUGACGGUACCCUCAAAGGAAGCACCGGCUAACUCCGUGCCAGCAGCCGCGGUAAUACGGAGGGUGCGAGCGUUGUUCGGAUUUAUUGGGCGUAAAGCGCGUGUAGGCGGUUUGUUAAGUCUGAGGUAAAAGCCCCGGGCUCAACCUGGGAAGUGCAUUGGAUACUGGCAGACUUGAGUACGGGAGAGGAGAGUGGAAUUCCCAGUGUAGGAGUGAAAUCCGUAGAUAUUGGGAGGAACACCGGUGGCGAAGGCGGCUCUCUGGACCGAUACUGACGCUGAGACGCGAAAGCGUGGGGAGCAAACAGGAUUAGAUCCCCCGGUAGU
rnacentral:rRNA from 1 species